UACGUAGGUGACAAGCGUUGUCCGGAUUUACUGGGCGAAAGAGCGCGCAGGCGGUCGAUCAAGUCGAGUGUGAAAGCCCCCGGCUCAACUGGGGAGGGUCAUUCGAUACUGAUCGACUCGAAGGCAGGAGAGGGUAGUGGAAUUCCCGGUGUAGUGGUGAAAUGCGUAGAUAUCGGGAGGAACACCAGUGGCGAAGGCGACUAACCUGGCCUGUUCUGACGCUGAGGCGCGAAAGCUAGGGGAGCAAACGGGAUUAAGAAACCCGGGG
rnacentral:rRNA from 1 species